rnacentral:rRNA from 1 species
CCUACGGGAGGCAGCAGUAGGGAAUAUUUCUCAAUGGGCGAAACCCUGAAGCAGCAACGCCGCGUGGAGGAUGAAGGUUUUCGGGUUGUAAACUCCUUUUAUUAGAGAAGAUAAUGACGGUAUCUAACGAAUAAGCACCGGCUAACUCCGUGCCAGCAGCCGCGGUCAUACGGAGGGUGCAAGCGUUACUCGGAAUCACUGGGCGUAAAGAGCGCGUAGGCGGGAUAGCAAGUCAGAUGUGAAAUCCUAUGGCUUAACCAUAGAACUGCAUUUGAAACUGUUAUUCUAGAGUAUGGGAGAGGGAGGUGGAAUUCUUGGUGUAGGGGUAAAAUCCGUAGAGAUCAAGAGGAACACUCAUUGCGAAGGCGACCUGCUAGAACAUAACUGACGCUGAGGCGCGAAAGCGUGGGGAGCAAACAGGAUUAGAUACCCUUGUAGUC